rnacentral:rRNA from 1 species
CCUACGGGAGGCAGCAGUGAGGAAUAUUGGUCAAUGGACGAGAGUCUGAACCAGCCAAGUAGCGUGAAGGAUGACUGCCCUAUGGGUUGUAAACUUCUUUUAUAUGGGAAUAAAACGUUCCACGUGUGGGAUUUUGUAUGUACCAUAUGAAUAAGGAUCGGCUAACUCCGUGCCAGCAGCCGCGGUAAUACGGAUGAUCCGAGCGUUAUCCGGAUUUAUUGGGUUUAAAGGGAGCGUAGGUGGAUUGUUAAGUCAGUUGUGAAAGUUUGCGGCUCAACCGUAAAAUUGCAGUUGAAACUGGCAGUCUUGAGUACAGUAGAGGUGGGCGGAAUUCGUGGUGUAGCGGUGAAAUGCUUAGAUAUCACGAAGAACUCCGAUUGCGAAGGCAGUUCACUGGACUGCAACUGACACUGAGGCUCGAAAGUGUGGGUAUCAAACAGGAUUAGAUACCCCUGUAGUC